UUGCUAGCCUUGAGCUAUAGGCACUGACAUUCAGAACCUCGGGGAACGACUAUAUGCUGCCGUGAAGAACUACAGACCACCACCGCCCUCAGACCUCUGUAAGUUAUCACAUGUCGAGAGUGGCCAGGAGAAUCCAAAUGCCAGCAGAAAGGUUCUCUGCCUGGUCCUGAUGAGGAGCCUUCGGCCGUAGGAAGGUUGGCAGCGUCCUUACUGGACUUGCUGCUGUUCUGAGGGCCAGCAACUCAAAGAGGAGCAGCUCAGCCCAUUUCGUUGCUUUCAGUGAUCCUGUUCUGAGGAAGCAUGUAAGUACAGAAGGGGUCUGGGAGGGUUUUCAAACAAGA